rnacentral:rRNA from 1 species
GCGACCAUACCUUAUUGAAAACACAGGUUAUCUUCCUAUCACCGAAGUUAAGCAAUAUCAGGCCAGGUCAGUACUUGGGAGGGUGACCACUUGGGAACACCGGGUGUUGUUGUAGGCG